AAUACCACGCGGGCGGCCGGCUGGUGUAAACUCGUACGCGUAGUAUUACCGCGUUAAGUACGGCCGUCGAGACAUCUGAACCCGUGUCCCGCUUUUCACGUAGUCCCGCGAAAAUCCCCGUUAGACAUUUAUAUCGUUUCGUAGUUCCGGUGUCGAAAAGACAGGAAAAAAAAAAAAAAAUUCGCAUAGUUUGUUGGGAAACAAUGAUUGGCGUUAUUCCUGUUUAACAUAAAUUAUUACCGUUGUAUUGGAAUAAAAUUUCAAAUGUCAUUUUGCCA